rnacentral:rRNA from 1 species
CAAGCGGUGGAGCAUGUGGUUUAAUUCGAAGCAACGCGAAGAACCUUACCAGGUCUUGACAUCCUCUGACAAUCCUAGAGAUAGGACGUUCCCCUUCGGGGGACAGAGUGACAGGUGGUGCAUGGUUGUCGUCAGCUCGUGUCGUGAGAUGUUGGGUUAAGUCCCGCAACGAGCGCAACCCUUGUCCUUAGUUGCCAGCAUUCAGUUGGGCACUCUAAGGAGACUGCCGGUGACAAACCGGAGGAAGGUGGGGAUGACGUCAAAUCAUCAUGCCCCUUAUGACCUGGGCUACACACGUGCUACAAUGGAUGGUACAAAGGGUUGCGAAGCCGUGAGGUGUAGCUAAUCCCAUAAAACCAUUCUCAGUUCGGAUUGUAGGCUGCAACUCGCCUACAUGAAGCCGGAAUCGCUAGUAAUCGCGGAUCAGAAUGCCGCGGUGAAUACGUUCCCGGGUCUUGUACACACC